rnacentral:rRNA from 1 species
AUUGAACGCUGGCGGCAGGCUUAACACAUGCAAGUCGAGGGGUAUAGUUCUUCGGAACUAGAGACCGGCGCACGGGUGCGUAACGCGUAUGCAAUCUACCUUUUGCAGAGGGAUAGCCCAGAGAAAUUUGGAUUAAUACCUCAUAGUAUGUGAGAAUGGCAUCAUUUUCACAUUAAAGUCACAACGGCAAAAGAUGAGCAUGCGUCCCAUUAGCUAGUUGGUAAGGUAACGGCUUACCAAGGCAACGAUGGGUAGGGGUCCUGAGAGGGAGAUCCCCCACACUGGUACUGAGACACGGACCAGACUCCUACGGGAGGCAGCAGUGAGGAAUAUUGGACAAUGGGCGCAAGCCUGAUCCAGCCAUGCCGCGUGCAGGAUGACGGUCCUAUGGAUUGUAAACUGCUUUUAAGUCAGGAAGAAACACUGGUUCGUGAACCAGCUUGACGGUACUGUAAGAAUAAGGAUCGGCUAACUCCGUGCC